GAAAGUCCUGGGCUCCCUGAAUCCCCAGGCCGUGGCUGAUUCUAUCUUUCUGCCUCCAGACACUGGGAUCACCCCUUAGCUGGAACCAUUCUGCCAUGACCAGGAACUCAGAGUUAAAGGUAAAAGGUGAAAGGGCAGAGAUAAUGAAAUCAACUUAUCCAACGUGAUCAGAAGGGAGAAAAUCCUACCAGUCUUAUAGUCUCCAUGUCUCCCACUCUGACAAUGUGAUGCCCCAGGGUUCCUCAUGGCCAUGACCAAUGCAAAGCCUGAUACAAACAGCCAAGCAGGAGAACCACGACCUGAGCAGGGGAACCAGGUGCUCCUUGGACUGCUGGGAUUGAGAAUGUUAUUGAUGAAGACUGUGGCUAUCAACAACCUGCUCACCGCCCUGGUCUUGAUUUUUGAUCUUACCACCCCAUGAAAUUAUCCCAUUAAUCCUUGUCUAUUUUCUGCUCCCUCAAAUUUCCAUUCAGCUGUCCUACCCAACCCCAAUUCAUACUCAGCCUCUUUUUUCUCAGUCUUCUCUCUGUCCUUUCAUCCCCCCCACAACCCUAACCUUACGAUCUCAUGCCUAUUCCCCUAGGCAUUUCAUAGUCUUCUCUCUGCUUUCAUCCCUCUGUUCCCUUAGAUUUUUCUUUAUUUUUCAAGUCUCCUCUCUUGCCUAUUAUUCUUUCUGUCCCUAUGACGUCCCUUUUGUGUGCAGAAAGGGGGAAUGAACAGAAGGGAACAAGCUGCUUCUAGAUGAGUUUGACCUCUCACUCCCUGACACUUGACUUCUGACUUUAGUUUCUCUAGAAGCCUGGGAAACAACAUUGUGGGAGCCACCAUUUGGACCCUGCUGUGACCAUUUGAGUCCCAGAAUUAUCCCAGUGACCCCAGUCACAUUCAUUCAUUCCUGAGAUUCAGAAUAGUCAAUUCUGAGUGUGUGUCCCCUGAAAUAGUCAAGACAUUCCUUUCUUAGAGGUCGUGAUAUAGAAGUGGGAGUGGGGGGGGGACGGACAGAUUAUCAUAGCCCAGAUUCUCCAGGUUUCCAUAGCUUGGGUAGCAGCAACAAUUCCCACUAUUACCUUUUUUCCCUAUAUGAGGCUUAUUUUGGGGGUACACACCAGGUUGCAACCUCCAGUUCAUGUUCUUGGGAUUGUGGCCAUGUGGGCUGCUUGGAGUCAGUAGGGGUCACGUACCAUGACAGAAGUUAGGCUGUGAAGGUUGGGGAUGAGUGAGGGAGAAAAUCAGCCACAUCAUCUUCU
rnacentral:lncRNA from 1 species